rnacentral:lncRNA from 1 species
CCUGCAGUUAUUUAAUGUUAAUUCAUAUUGGCGUUAGCUUCCAAAGGUUUCACUAUCAAAAUAGGGAAAUAGCGCAUAAUAUAAAAUAUCACAUUGGCAAAUUAUAAUUUUUGGACAAACACUAAUUUAAAGGUCUGUCAUGAGCAACAGUAAUAAGAGCUGAUGUCUCUGUUGUUUCAUUAAAUGAGGGGGGAGAGGCCUGAACAUCCAUUUACAUUAAACUCCUGAGCAUCAAAGGCGCAUCGCGGACAUGCGCGGUGACAGCCAGUUAUCACUCUCACGCAAAGCCUAGGCUGUCUAAAUAAUGUUGGCUGUCUCUAAUGCGACUUUCGACAUUUUAAAAUGUUUAAAAUUGACCCUCGACUUUUAAUCAUCCGAUGAGGCGUCCUCGAAAGGCAGUUUUUCAUGAGCUGCGGGGGAAGCCUGUUGAUCUGAAGAUGUCAAAAAGAGAGUGGUGGUAAUACAGUACUCAAAGAGUUGAAAAUGAUGGACACACAGCGUGCUUUGCUGGCAGUGGAGCGGCUGCAGCAGAGACUGAAGAAGAGGGGAGAACUGCCUGCUGAGGAAAAACUCAGUCUGCUCAAGAGUGUCUUACAGAGUCCCCUGUUUAACCAGAUACUCAACAUGCAAGAGACUGGACAACAGCAUGAGAACCAACAGGUCAGACAUCAGCAUCAUCACAGUCCAUCACACAAAAAAGCAUACACUAACACUAAAAUAUGCCCAAACAUUAAACAGUGGGCUUUACCAUCAUUUAUAUAGCCUAUAUAAAUGUAUUAAAUUAAAUUCAGUAAAGAAAUGUCUCCUCAUAUUAUGUAAAAUAAAAAAUAGUUGGCUGAUAGUAGUUGCAUAAUUACUGUAUACAUUAUACAGCAUGAUUAUCUCAUUAACAUUAUAACUGAUCUUGUGAAAUGCAGAAUUGAACAAAAGUAUAUUUUAUGCUGAUAUCCAACUCCACUUCUAUUACCUGAAAUAGAAAUUUACAUGCACAUAUAUUUUAUAAGGCAUUUAUACAUCCAGGGAGCAUAAUUUCAGAUAUUCCCUGAUGUGAACAGUGCUUUGAUUCACCUCUUACAUCCUCUCUGGCUCUCUGGGUUUAUUAUUAGUUGAAAUAAAACAUGAAAUAAACCUUUCUUAAAGGAAUAUUUCAGAUCACACCCAAGUGACAACAUUUGUGGCAUAAUGUUGUCCCUCUUUGCGUUAAAAAAGAAAAAUUGUGGUAAGUGAUGCACUUAAAAUGAAAGUGAAUGGGGCCAGUCCACAGUUUGAUUCAAUAGUAAAACCAAA